rnacentral:rRNA from 1 species
UACGGGGGGAGCAAGCGUUGUUCGGAUUUACUGGGCGUAAAGGGCGCGUAGGCGGCGCAACAAGAUCACGUUGUGAAAUCUCCGGGCUUAACCCGGAGCGGUCAAGUGAUACUGUCGUGCUAGAGUGCGGAAGGGGCUACUGGAAUUCUCGGUGUAGCGGUGAAAUGCGUAGAUAUCGAGAGGAACACCUGCGGCGAAGGCGGGUAGCUGGGCCGACACUG